rnacentral:sRNA from 1 species
AAAUUCGAGGGGACGCUGGUGGACGGAUUGGGUGCAAGGAGUUGGUGUUGAUGGAGGAGCAGGACGCCAGAGUCCCAGCCCUGGAACCAUUCAGAGUGGAGCAGGUUGUCAGAACUCAGGGUGCAGAGGGUGAAGGAGGCAGGCUGAUUCCUGAGUUCUUGGGUUGGGACUGCCCCCUUCCACCAAAUUCAUUCUUACUGUCAGAGUCCAUUCUGGAAUGGCACUGGUCCCUUGACUUCAGACCCUGACCUGUCUGAGGACAUCCUGAGCCUGUCUUCAGGCAUAGGGGUUGCUCUGUGAUGAUAUGUCCUCUGUGUGGGUUGAAGGACCACACCUUCAGGGGGUCUUUCUAUCCUAGGCACCACCUGUAAUCUACUAUGUCCCUGACUUCAUCUCCAAAGAAGAGGAGGAGUAUUUGCUUCGACAGGUUUUUAAUGCCCCAAAGCCAAAGUGGACCCAGCUCUCUGGGAGAAAGUUACAGAACUGGGGGGAGCCCUCAGGACCCCAUUGCCUUCCCCAGGUGGGCUU